rnacentral:tRNA from 1 species
UUAAUUGAAGCCAAAAUAGAGGCGUAUCACUGUUAAUGAUAUAAGUAGGCAAUAGCCUCAAUUAAG